AGUCACUGACAUUAGAUACCCGCGUAGUCCAGGGUGUAAACGCUGCAGACUUGGUGUUGGAAAUCCUUCGAGGGUAUUCAGUGCCGGAGAGAAGUUGUUAAGUCUGCUACUUGGGAGUACGUCCGCAAGGAUGAAACUUAAAGGAAUUGGCGGGGGAGCACCGCAACGGGAGGAGCGUGCGGUUUAAUUGGAUUCAACACCGGAAAACUCACCAGGGGAGACUGUUACAUGAAGGCCGAGAUGAAGACUCUGCUAGAUUUUCAG
rnacentral:rRNA from 1 species